rnacentral:rRNA from 1 species
UGGGGAAUAUUGCACAAUGGGGGGAACCCUGAUGCAGCGACGCCGCGUGAGCGAAGAAGGGACUCGUUUCGUAAAGCUCUGUCCUAUGGGAAGAUAAUGACGGUACCAUAGAAGAAAGCCCCGGCUAACUACGUGCCAGCAGCCGCGGUAAUACGUAGGGGGCGAGCGUUGUCCGGAAUCACUGGGCGUAAAGGGUUCGCAGGCGGAUAAACAAGUCAAGAGUAAAAGGCAUGGGCUUAACCCAUGUAAGCUAUUGAAACUGUUUAUCUUGAGAUGUGGGGAGGUAAGUGGAAUUACUAGUGUAGCGGUGAAAUGCGUAGAUAUUAGUAGGAAUACCAGUGGCGAAGGAGACUUACUGGACACAAACUGACGCUGAGGAACGAAAGCGUGGGUAGCAAACAGG